CAGCUCUGUUCUGGAAAACAGAAAAACAACAGCAACCAAAGACAGCCUGACCAAACAAGGAUUGCUUUUCUGUGUCAGUCCUCAGGAGUGCUGAUUCUUUACCAUCUCGGUGAACAAUGUCCCCAUCUGUGAAUCCACAGAAGCAAGGAGAUGGCCCGAGUACAUCCUUUCCACCCUAAACUCAACUCUCCUUUGGAAGAAGGAAGUGACAAGAUUUGGUGUCUUAAAGAGGAGAUCCAGCCGGGUGCCGGUGGCUAACGCCUGUAAUUCUAACUACCCAGGAGGCUGAGAUCUGAG